rnacentral:rRNA from 1 species
UACGUAGGCGGCUCUAUAAGUCAGUAGUGAAAUCUCGAAGCUCAACUUCGAACGUGCUAUUGAAACUGUAGAGCUUGAGUACAGACGAGGCAGGCGGAAUGUGUUGUGUAGCGGUGAAAUGCUUAGAUAUAACACAGAACACCGAUAGCGAAGGCAGCUUGCCAGACUGUAACUGACGCUGAGGCACGAAAGCGUGGGGAGCGAACAGGAUUAGAUACCCUGGUAGUCC